rnacentral:tRNA from 1 species
GGCUUUAUAUUCAUAUUAAUGAUAUUAGACUGCAAUUCUGAAGGAGUAAUAAAAUUUUACUAAAGCUUA